UCUUCCUCCACUAAGCUGGACAACUUUUAAUGGAGUCAAUCCUGACCUGACCAGAGGGUGAAGUAAGUAGCCCAAGGAGUAGUCCAGGAGCCCAAGGCACAGGGAUCCACAGUUCCAGGCUGAAUGCUAUUCCAGCAUCUCUGCCCUGAGGAGCAAGGAUCCAAGAAUCCAGCCCUGCAAAAGCCAGUAGAAAUUCUGGUUUUGAACCUGAACCUGUUGAAGCCAGUGUUGUGAAGAAAAUGAGCUAAAUUGUGAACCUACACUCCCAGAACUGGACAAUGUUCAUAUGAACCUGAAGACUAUUGUGGAAGGUUCUUUCCAUCAAUCAAAUUAGUCCAGAGGGAAAAAAAUCUACACAUCCCAAGAAGUGAACGAUUCCAGUUACCUUGUUCCUUUGCUUCUUUGUGCCUUACCCUCUUUCUUUCCCAUUUUUUCUUUAGUACUACUCCUCUGAAUUCUUUGACCUGUUUUCAUGAACAAUGGGCAUCUAAUGAUGUUUAAAUGCCAGUGUACACAGAGAUGAUUAUGAUGUUCAACAUACAAGUCUUGUUUUCCCCUAGAUCCCAUUUGGGGGUGGUACUUUUGAAAAGGAUUAAUAAUUAGGAUGGCAGUGAGAAAUGGGGUCAUAAUUUAAAGAAGGGGGAAAUGAGCUCAAGGAGAUGAGCUAAGGAGUCUUGGUAAGUGUUCCUUAUAUUCAGUAUACUCUUAACUAAUAGCUCUUAACUGUAGUUCAACAGGUUCCUAGCAACCCAAUUUUGCUGAAUCCUUUAGUUCAUUUUCUCAACUAUUUUCUAAUUUUCUAAUUAUUUGGCUAUUUUCUCAAAGCUGCCUCCCUUACCUCCUGGUCC
rnacentral:lncRNA from 1 species